rnacentral:lncRNA from 11 species
GUUCGAAGUUAAUCUUCUUAUCCUAUAUUCCCCCUUUUAAAGAAGAAGAACAAACAUCACUUUCCUUCUUCAGCGUUCUCCAUGGGUGCAAUUAAUUACCCAGCUGUUGGAACUCCUCUCUUCGCCCAGUGGGUGGGAAAUGGGUUUCUUACUGGAAGCUGAGUACCCCCAAACUGCGAACCUGCAUUUUCAGGAGUAGUAUGAUCCCAUCUAACACAGACCGAAUCCCUGGUCCCAGAUCUGUCUGAUGAUUGAUUAGGAGCAUCUCUGU